UAUUCUUGCUUUAAAAAAAUUGCCAAGUUAACAAAAAAGACAUAGAUUCUACUGGUGUGUGUGUCAACUUGCUUGAUUUGUCUUUUCAGCAAUACAUUAUUUCACCCAGCUGUUAAAGAGAAGUUUAUUUUCCUCUCUUUGUACUUUAUAAGGGUAUGUGUUAUUUUAGGGAAGUCAGGUUAUACUUAGUCUUGAACUGUAAUAAUCAAUCAAAAGAUCUACUUGUAAAUUAUUUUAUUAUUAAUUUAAUUGACCCAUCGUACCUAUCGAGUGUUUAUUUAAUACUUGCCUGUGGUUUGUAGAGAAUAUCUGUGAUUUAAAAAGUAUCAGUCACUUUUCCAAACAGUGAAAAGUAACUGUGAAAGCUGUCUAAACAUUUUACUAUGUGACUGUGAAAUUACAUCGUUUUUAACGUCAUGAUGUUAUUAUUCCGGUGAAAUCUAAAGUUAACCCCCUUUAAAAUGGUGGAAAAUCAU